GACAGAGGCCUCAAGCGUUAGGCGGAAUCACUGGGCUUAAAGCGUGUGUAGGCGGAUCGUUAAGUGCCUUGUGAAAUCCCACGGCUUAACUGUGGAACGGCUGGGCAUACUGGCGGUCUUGAGCCAUCUAGGGGCGACUGGAACAAACGGUGGAGCGGUGAAAUGCGUAGAUAUCGUUUGGAACGCCAAUGGUGAAAACAGGUCGCUGGGGAUGCGCUGACGCUGAGACACGAAAGCCAGGGGAGCAAACGGG
rnacentral:rRNA from 1 species